GACGAACGCUGGCGGCGUGCCUAAUACAUGCAAGUCGAACGAGAGCGACCGGUGCUUGCACUGGUCAAUCUAGUGGCGAACGGGUGGGUAACACGUGGGUAACCUGCCCAUCAGAGGGGGAUAACAUUCGGAAACGGAUGCUAAAACCGCAUAGGUCCUUUAACCGCAUGGUUGAAGGAGGAAAAGAGGCGCAAGCUUCUGCUGAUGGAUGGACCCGCGGUGCAUUAGCUAGUUGGUGAGGUAACGGCUCACCAAGGCCGUGAUGCAUAGCCGACCUGAGAGGGUGAUCGGCCACAUUGGGACUGAGACACGGCCCAAACUCCUACGGGAGGCAGCAGUAGGGAAUCUUCCGCAAUGGACGCAAGUCUGACGGAGCAACGCCGCGUGAGUGAAGAAGGUUUUCGGAUCGUAAAACUCUGUUGUUAGAGAAGAACAAGUGCUAGAGUAACUGUUAGCGCCUUGACGGUAUCUAACCAGAAAGCCACGGCUAACUACGUGCCAGCAGCCGCGGUAAUACGUAGGUGGCAAGCGUUGUCCGGAUUUAUUGGGCGUAAAGCGAGCGCAGGCGGUUCCUUAAGUCUGAUGUGAAAGCCCCCGGCUCAACCGGGGAGGGUCAUUGGAAACUGGGGAACUUGAGUGCAGAAGAGGAGAGUGGAAUUCCAUGUGUAGCGGUGAAAUGCGUAGAUAUAUGGAGGAACACCAGUGGCGAAGGCGACUCUCUGGUCUGUAACUGACGCUGAGGCUCGAAAGCGUGGGUAGCAAACAGG
rnacentral:rRNA from 1 species